rnacentral:lncRNA from 1 species
AAUAAAGAUGAUAUUAUUUUUUGUAAUGGUGUGUACAAAAAAAAAAUAAACAAAAUAAAUUUAGUUGUGUUAAAAAGCAAUUAUUUUAUAAAAGAAAGUAAUAAAAACGAAUUUUUAGUGAUUUAUGAUUUAAUAAAAAAAAAAAAAAAAAAUGAAAAAAAUCAUUGCUUAAGUUUUAUAAUCGAAUUAAUUAUUUAUAAUAACAUUUUAAAAUAUAGUAUGAACGAAAAUAUUCAAUAUAUUUUAUUAGGAAAUAAUGCGAAUAAUAUUUGUAAUAAAGCAUUUUUAUAUACGAUAAUGGGUAAUGGUAUAAAUGUGCCUUUAUGUACAGCUUAUAUAGAUGACAGAUAUACAUGCGUAAAAAUGAUUAAGCCAUUAAAAGAAUUGUUUGUUAAGGAAAUAUAUUUAUAUUGCUUUUAUAAAAAUAUUUCAUAUUUGAAAAAUACUAUGAACAACUAUAUAAGUAGUAGUAGGUUAUAUACAACUUUAUACGAUGUGUUAUCAGAAUUAAACUCUAAUAACAAUACAACGUCUAUUAUUAAUAGUGCUAAUAAUAAUUUGAUUGGUUAUGAUGUUUUGGUUAAUAUAAAUAAAAACAAAAAUGAGAAUGCCGUCAAAGUGUCACAUAAUGAUGUACACAAAGUGGACAAAAAAGGAUAUACACAUAAGGUGGGAAAUUUAAGAAAUGGCAAUAGUAACAGUAGUAGUUAUGUUACAAAUGGUACACGCGUUGGUAGUAUUAGUAACGAUACUAUUAACGGCACUAGUAACGAUACUAUUAACGGCACUAGUAACGGUACUAUUAACAACCAUAAGACUCAAUCAAAAGAUUGUUAUGGCAACCAUUUAUUAUGCCAUCUUUGUCAUGGUUAUAAAGAAGCAUUAGUAGAACAGGAAAUGUUAAGAAGAAUGAACAUGACUCAAAUCAGAAAUCUGAAAAAUAUAAAAAAUACGGUAACUAUAUGUGCUACUUGUUUAUCUACAUUUUCCUAUAGCGAUGAUCUUGUAAAGUUUGUUAACUUAUUUUUUUAAAUUAAUAAAGAUGACUUUGUGAAAUAACUAUCUAAAAUU